rnacentral:rRNA from 1 species
UACGUAGGGUGCGAGCGUUGUCCGGAAUCACUGGGCGUAAAGCGCACGUAGGCGGACUCGCAGGUCAAUUGUGAAAUACCUGGGCUCAACCCGGGAACUGCAGUUGAAACCGCUUGUCUUGAAUACCUGAGAGGGUGGGGGAAUACCUGGUGGAGAAGUGAAAUUCGUAGAGAUCGGAAGGAACACCAGUGGCGAAGGCGGCUACCUGGACAGAUACUGACACUGAGGCGCGAGAGCGUGGGGAGCAAACAGG